UCCUCCUCCCCUCCCGCCUCCCCCGUUAGUUUUCUUACGAAAAAGUGCUGCUGAGAAUUCCCAGAAGGUCCCGGAUGUGAAGUCACCGGCGUGAGGAGCUGGCCUUGGACAUCGUGCUCCACUUCCAUUGGAUGACAUCCCUGUUGGCCCCAUAGAAACCAUCAUCAGCACAUGUGAGAAUUAAAAUGGGUAUACGUGCUGGUAUCCCCCCUUCCCCCUUCUUCCUGACUUAACUAUGGUCAUGAUGCCUGGACCUGGGCAGCCAUCUUGCACCUAUGAAGCAACCAGCACAAGGUCUAUUGGUGGUAACAGCUCUGCUGCUGCUCGUCCAGGUUAUCGUACCAUCCCUUGGGGUGCUCCUACACCUACAUGUUUGUAAGUAGUACCAUUGUAAAUAAGCUUUCCUAAAGUGAUCCUGUUUUGAGUGUGCCAUUAUCUGAUGGUACACUGACUGUCAGAUUUAAAAGAAAACACACACACACACACACAACUUGCAUCUGAACACCAACCACACACCACUGUAUUCACAAAGACCAGCUGUCAGGCAACAAUCUGGCUCCUGAUCUCGAUAUGUGUAGAAACAAAUAGCAAGAAGAGUCAAUGCCCUCUAUUCAUGCCUCUCCGACUAUGCCUUUUCAGAAAACUGUGUGGAGAAAUGGACAGCAAGUAAAAGACACUGUUGAACAAAGUAUGCUGGCUGUUGAGGGAAAGAUAUUCACAUGAGGUUUUGAAAUAAGAGAUGAGAUACAGCGUCCCUUUGUGGUACCGAUAGCUCUUUACCACAGGUGGCUCGCUCACUCAAGAAGCAUCU